CUGGAGCAAUAUGCUGAAAACCGAUCCUUCAAAGAGUGGAAAGAAAAGUUUGAUAAAGAUCUGGUGGAAGACAUGGAAAAGAAAAGGAGAAGCUUCUACAGUGAAAACACGGUGGGAUUACUGCGCUUCAUCCGCAACCUUUGUGAGCACCGUUACAAAGAGGCUUCUACAAUCAACAUCUUGGCUUUGUUUCCUGAUCUCUUCGAAUGUGUUUACACAUUUGCAAAAAUCCAAGGCUGGAAUGAAGAGGCACCUUUAAAGGAGAUGUUCCCGCCUCCAGUAAAAGCUCGGCACGA